UCAGUAUCCUGCCACUCUCAGGUGUGCUGCAGCCAGGACAGAGCCAGCAGGUCUCCUCCACCUUCCCUGGCCACCUCAGCAGCACCUCCAAUGUCACCGAGCUGUGCCACGUGGAGGGAGGCCCCACCUGCGAGGUGCUGGUGACCGGGGAGGCCUCAGGUGUCAGCUCCUCCCUGAGCCCCCGGGAGAUCAGCUGUGGCUCUCAGGCACCUCUCAGGGACAGAAGGGAGCUGAAACAGCCAGCUCAAAAGCCUGAGGAGGAGGCAGAAGGAGGAGCUUCAGGAGCCUUCGAGGAGGAAGAGAGGCUGAAGGAGGAAGAGAGGUGUAAGAAGGAAAAGAAGGGAGUCUGUGUGGGGAAGCAGCCUCCAAAACCAGAGAAGGGGAAAAGCAAAUUAUUAGAGAAGAAUGAAACCAAAAUCCCAAAAAAGGAAACAAGAUCGCCAGAGAAGAAGAACACCAAGGCCCCAGAGAAGAAAGUCACCGAAGUAUCAGAGAGGAAGAAAACCAAAAUCCCGGGGAACGAAACCAAAGCAGCAGAAAAGAAGGAAGCCAAAACCCCAAAGAAGGGGAAAGCCAAAGCCCUAAAAAAAGGCGGGAACUGAAAUCCCCAACGACCCAACUGAGCUGGAGAAGAACUCUUUAUUCUUUAGGCACACAACUCAUUUUACACAGUUUGAAAGACCUCAUGUGCAACUUUAGUUAGUUAGUAUGUUUCUAUGCAGUUUUUCUAUUAUUGGUUAAUAAAAUAGAUUUUACUUCUGC